rnacentral:rRNA from 1 species
AUUGAACGCUGGCGGCAUGCCUUACACAUGCAAGUCGAACGGCAGCACGGGAGCAAUCCUGGUGGCGAGUGGCGAACGGGUGAGUAAAGUAUCGGAACGUGCCCAGUCGUGGGGGAUAACGUAGCGAAAGUUACGCUAAUACCGCAUACGAUCUAUGGAUGAAAGCGGGGGAUCGCAACACCUCGCGCGAUUGGAGCGGCCGAUAUCAGAUUAGUGGAUUGGUGGGGUAAAGGCCCACCAAGCCGAAGAUCUGUAGCUGGUCUGAGAGGACGACCAGCCACACUGGGACUGAGACACGGCCCAGACUCCUACGGGAGGCAGCAGUGGGGAAUUUUGGACAAUGGGCGAAAGCCUGAUCCAGCCAUGCCGCGUGCAGGAUGAAGGCCUUCGGGUUGUAAACUGCUUUUGUACGGAACGAAAAGGUUUGGCCUAAUAAGCUGAGCUCAUGACGGUACCGUAAGAAUAAGCACCGGCUAACUACGUGCCAGCAGCCGCAGUAA